CUGCGGGUUCUUAAUGAAUUGUCUAUUUAUUUACUUUCCUUUUCUAUACAAAAAAAAAAAAACUCGUCUUCUUUCUCAAGUCAAGUCAAGAUUCAGUGAUCGUCAUUUGGGGCGUACGAAAACCAGAGUAACAAAUCCAAGAAUUACUACUGUUCAAUCUCCAUUAUUGGCCAAAUCCUGAGAUCGACAUGUGCGCGAAUACCACUGGAUUUUAACUCUCCCUAUUGAGAUGCCUCAAGACUAGUUUCCUUCCCCGGUUACGUGGUUUCGUAGCAAGUCAGCUUCUUGUUCGCAUUACCGUUGCUGCUGGUUCCGUUCCAUUGCUCCGCCAUGGACACCGGACAAGUGAUUGAGUUCUUAAGUAACGUCCCAUUGCUGCAGA